rnacentral:rRNA from 1 species
AUUGAACGCUGGCGGCAUGCCUUACACAUGCAAGUCGAACGGCAGCACGGGGCAACCUGGUGGCGAGUGGCGAACGGGUGAGUAAUGCAUCGGAACGUACCUUUCAGUGGGGGAUAACGUAGCGAAAGUUACGCUAAUACCGCAUAUUCUGUGAGCAGGAAAGCAGGGGAUCGCAAGACCUUGCGCUGAUUGAGCGGCCGAUGUCAGAUUAGCUAGUUGGUGAGGUAAAGGCUCACCAAGGCGACGAUCUGUAGCGGGUCUGAGAGGAUGAUCCGCCACACUGGAACUGAGACGCGGUCCAGACUCCUACGGGAGGCAGCAGUGGGGAAUUUUGGACAAUGGGGGCAACCCUGAUCCAGCCAUGCCGCGUGAGUGAAGAAGGCCUUCGGGUUGUAAAACUCUUUCGGCCGGGAAGAAAUCGCACGGGCUAAUACCCUGUGUGGAUGACGGUACCGGAAUAAGAAGCACCGGCUAACUACGUGCCAGCCGCCGCGGUAAGAC